UGGGGGAUAUGCAAAAGUACCA
rnacentral:siRNA from 1 species